UACGUAGGUGGCAAGCGUUGUCCGGAAUCAUUGGGCGUAAAGCGCGUGUAGGCGGCCCGGUAAGUCCGCUGUGAAAGUCGGGGGCUCAACCCUCGAAUGCCGGUGGAUACUGUCGGGCUAGAGUGCGGGAGAGGCGAGUGGAAUUCCUGGUGUAGCGGUGAAAUGCGCAGAUAUCGAGAGGAACACCUGCGGCGAAGGCGGGUAGCUGGGCCGACACUGACGCUGAGGCGCGAAAGCCAGGGGAGCGAACGGG
rnacentral:rRNA from 1 species